AACGAACGCUGGCGGCAGGCUUAACUCAUGCAAGUCGAGCGCCCCGCAAGGGGAGCGGCAGACGGGUGAGUAACGCGUGGGAAUCUACCCAUCUCUACGGAAUAACGCAUGGAAACGUGUGCUAAUACCGUAUACGUCCUUCGGGAGAAAGAUUUAUCGGAGAUGGAUGAGCCCGCGUUGGAUUAGCUAGUUGGUGGGGUAAAGUCCUACCAAGGCGACGAUCCAUAGCUGGUCUGAGAGGAUGAUCAGCCACACUGGGACUGAGACACGGCCCAGACUCCGACGGGAGGCAGCGGUGGGGAAUAUUGGACAAUGGGCGCAAGCCUGAUCCAGCCAUGCCGCGUGAGUGAUGAAGGCCCUAGGAUUGUAAAGCUCUUUCACCGGUGAAGAUAAUGACGGUAACCGGAGAAGAAGCCCCGGCUAACUUCGUGCCAGCCGCCGCGGUAACAC
rnacentral:rRNA from 1 species